rnacentral:rRNA from 1 species
UACGAAAGGGGCUAGCGUUGUUCGGAAUCACUGGGCGUAAAGCGCUCGUAGGCGGAUCUUUAAGUCAGGGGUGAAAUCCCGAGGCUCAACCUCGGAACUGCCUUUGAUACUGGGGAUCUCGAGUCCGGGAGAGGUGAGUGGAACUGCGAGUGUAGAGGUGAAAUUCGUAGAUAUUCGCAAGAACACCAGUGGCGAAGGCGGCUCACUGGCCCGGUACUGACGCUGAGGAGCGAAAGCGUGGGGAGCAAACAGG